UACGUAGGUGGCAAGCGUUAUCCGGAAUUAUUGGGCGUAAAGCGCGCGCAGGUGGUUUCUUAAGUCUGAUGUGAAAGCCCACGGCUCAACCGUGGAGGGUCAUUGGAAACUGGGAGACUUGAGUGCAGAAGAGGAAAGUGGAAUUCCAUGUGUAGCGGUGAAAUGCGUAGAGAUAUGGAGGAACACCAGUGGCGAAGGCGACUUUCUGGUCUGUAACUGACACUGAGGCGCGAAGCGUGGGGAGCAAACAGGA
rnacentral:rRNA from 1 species